rnacentral:tRNA from 1 species
GCGGCUAUAGUUCAAUGGUAGAACACUGGCUUGUGGCGCCAGUUACGAGGGUUCGAUUCCCUCUAGUCGCCCA